rnacentral:snRNA from 1 species
CCUUCGGAAUUUGAAGCUA